CCUACGGGAGGCAGCAGUGGGGAAUCUUGCGCAAUGGGCGAAAGCCUGACGCAGCCAUGCCGCGUGAAUGAUGAAGGUCUUAGGAUUGUAAAAUUCUUUCACCGAGGACGAUAAUGACGGUACUCGGAGAAGAAGCCCCGGCUAACUUCGUGCCAGCAGCCGCGGUAAUACGAAGGGGGCUAGCGUUGCUCGGAAUUACUGGGCGUAAAGGGAGCGUAGGCGGAUAGUUUAGUCAGAGGUGAAAGCCCAGGGCUCAACCUUGGAAUUGCCUUUGAUACUGGCUAUCUUGAGUACGGAAGAGGUAUGUGGAACUCCGAGUGUAGAGGUGAAAUUCGUAGAUAUUCGGAAGAACACCAGUGGCGAAGGCGACAUACUGGUCCGUUACUGACGCUGAGGCUCGAAAGCGUGGGGAGCAAACAGGAUUAGAUACCCUGGUAGUCCACGCUGUAAACGAUGAGUGNUAGUGUCGUCGAUGCAUGCAUGUCGGUGCGCGAGCUACGACAUAAGUACACUCCGCCGUCGGGUAGGUACGGUCGGCGAGAAGUAAACUAACAACUAGAAGUUAGUACGGCGUGAGACGUGCCGACGGACGACGACGACGGGAGGUUAGG
rnacentral:rRNA from 1 species